rnacentral:tRNA from 1 species
UAGAAUGUGGUGUAACAUGGAAGCACGGAGAAUUUUGAAUUCUCAGGUACGGGUUCAAUUCCUGUAUUUCUAG